rnacentral:lncRNA from 1 species
AUAAUGAUAACCAGUAAAGAGGGGAUUACAUCUACCGGUUACUGGGUUGAAAACCACAGAAAUAGGUCUUACAACUACCGGUUACUGGGUAGAAGGCCACAAAGUUCGUUGGGGAAAAGGAUGAACAAUUACUGAUUACUGAGCAAUUGAACAACUAAACCACAGGGAACCGCAGGGGAAAACAAGACAGGAGUCAAUCUAG